AGCCCAGCAACUUAUAUCCCUACCUCACCGUGGUACUGGCUGGGGUACGAGCAAUUUUAGGGAAGAUCGGGUAACCAACCCCGGUGGGAACUUUGGCCGUAUGCUGACAGGUAAGG
rnacentral:ribozyme from 1 species